rnacentral:rRNA from 1 species
GGUAUGGGAUGAGCUUGCGUCCGAUUAACUAGUUGGCGGGGCAACGGCCCACCAAGGCGACGAUCGGUAGCCGGCCUGAGAGGGUGAUCGGCCACAUUGGGACUGAGAUACGGCCCAGACUCCUACGGGAGGCAGCAGUAGGGAAUAUUGCACAAUGGGGGAAACCCUGAUGCAGCAACGCCACGUGUGGGAAGAAGCAUUUCGGUGUGUAAACCACUGUCGUGAGGGAAUAAUACGCGGUUUCGGCCGCGGGGGAAUGUACCUCGAAAGGAAGCACCGGCAAACUUCGUGCCAGCAGCCGCGGUAAUACGAGGGGUGCAAGCGUUGUUCGGAAUCACUGGGCGUAAAGGGAGCGUAGGCGGAUGUUCAAGCGGAUUGUACAAUACCGGGGCCCAACCCCGGACCUGCAGUCCGAACUGGACAUCUUGGAUAGUUCAGGGGCAGGC